rnacentral:rRNA from 1 species
UACGGGGGGGGCAAGCGUUGUCCGGAAUUACUGGGCGUAAAGGGCUCGUAGGCGGCCAACUAAGUCGGACGUGAAAUCCCUCAGCUUAACUGGGGAACUGCGUCCGAUACUGGAUGGCUUGGAUUUGGGAGAGGGAUGCGGAAUUCCAGGUGUAGCGGUGAAAUGCGUAGAUAUCUGGAGGAACACCGGUGGCGAAGGCGGCAUCCUGGACCAAUAUUGACGCUGAGGAGCGAAAGCUAGGGGAGCAAACGGG